rnacentral:rRNA from 1 species
CGGUAGAGAGAAGCUUGCUUCUCUUGAGAGCGGCGGACGGGUGAGUAAUGCCUAGGAAUCUGCCUGGUAGUGGGGGAUAACGUUCGGAAACGGACGCUAAUACCGCAUACGUCCUACGGGAGAAAGCAGGGGACCUUCGGGCCUUGCGCUAUCAGAUGAGCCUAGGUCGGAUUAGCUAGUUGGUGAGGUAAUGGCUCACCAAGGCGACGAUCCGUAACUGGUCUGAGAGGAUGAUCAGUCACACUGGAACUGAGACACGGUCCAGACUCCUACGGGAGGCAGCAGUGGGGAAUAUUGGACAAUGGGCGAAAGCCUGAUCCAGCCAUGCCGCGUGUGUGAAGAAGGUCUUCGGAUUGUAAAGCACUUUAAGUUGGGGAGGAAGGGUUGUAGAUUAAUACUCUGCAAUUUUGACGUUACCGACAGAAUAAGCACCGGCUAACUCUGUGCCAGCAGCCGCGGUAAUACAGAGGGUGCAAGCGUUAAUCGGAAUUACUGGGCGUAAAGCGCGCGUAGGUGGUUUGUUAAGUUGGAUGUGAAAUCCCCGGGCUCAACCUGGGAACUGCAUUCAAAACUGACUGACUAGAGUAUGGUAGAGGGUGGUGGAAUUUCCUGUGUAGCGGUGAAAUGCGUAGAUAUAGGAAGGAACACCAGUGGCGAAGGCGACCACCUGGACUAAUACUGACACUGAGGUGCGAAAGCGUGGGGAGCAAACAGGAUUAGAUACCCUGGUAGUCCACGCCGUAAACGAU